rnacentral:rRNA from 1 species
UACGUAGGGUGCAAGCGUUGUCCGGAUUUAUUGGGCGUAAAGAGCUCGUAGGCGGCUUGUCGCGUCGUCCGUGAAAACUUGGGGCUCAACCCCAAGCUUGCGGUCGAUACGGGCAGGCUAGAGUUCGGUAGGGGAGACUGGAAUUCCUGGUGUAGCGGUGAAAUGCGCAGAUAUCAGGAGGAACACCGGUGGCGAAGGCGGGUCUCUGGGCCGAUACUGACGCUGAGGAGCGAAAGCGUGGGGAGCGAACAGA